GACUAUAUUAAUAAACUGGCACAACUUCGGGCAGGGAAAAGCAGCAAAAGCAAUCUUCUGAUUGCUAAGUUCAAAUCUGAAGAUUAAUUGAAUGGAUGGGAAGUACGUCAAGGACCUUACUUCCAGGAUGUUAUUGCUUCGAAGUAUGAAGCGGGAAUGGAUGCUAUAUUUGAGUUUACUGAGACUGGACAAACUUUUUUCAGGCUAUGUUUUAACCAGAGGUGGAUAUGUCGAGCUCUCCAAAAAGCUUUCACUUCCUUUAGGUAUGAAGGUCUUGUCCUCUCUGUUGGUGGUGAUGGAAGAUCAUAUGACGUAAUUCUUGAAGCUGGUCCUUCAGCAGAUACAACUCAAAGCAAAUUAUAUUUUGCCCGAAUAAAUACAAAAGUAGGAUU